UGGGAAUUUUGGACAAUGGGCGAAAGCCUGAUCCAGCAAUGCCGCGUGUGUGAAGAAGGCCUUCGGGUUGUAAAGCACUUUUGUCCGGAAAGAAAUCCUUGGCUCUAAUACAGUCGGGGGAUGACGGUACCGGAAGAAUAAGCACCGGCUAACUACGUGCCAGCAGCCGCGGUAAUACGUAGGGUGCAAGCGUUAAUCGGAAUUACUGGGCGUAAAGCGUGCGCAGGCGGUUUGCUAAGACCGAUGUGAAAUCCCCGGGCUCAACCUGGGAACUGCAUUGGUGACUGGCAGGCUAGAGUAUGGCAGAGGGGGGUAGAAUUCCACGUGUAGCAGUGAAAUGCGUAGAGAUGUGGAGGAAUACCGAUGGCGAAGGCAGCCCCCUGGGCCAAUACUGACGCUCAUGCACGAAAGCGUGGGGAGCAAGCAGGAUUAGAUACCCUGGUAGUCCACGCCCUAAACGAUGUCAACUAGUUGUUGGGGAUUCAUUUCCUUAGUAACGUAGCUAACGCGUGAAGUUGACCGCCUGGGGAGUACGGUCACAAGAUUAAAACUCAAAGGAAUUGACGGGGUCAUAGCUGUUUCCU
rnacentral:rRNA from 1 species